CGUGUAGGCGGCCAGACAGGUCUGUUGUGAAAACUCGAGGCUCAACCUCGAGACGCCGAUGGAAACCGUUUGGCUAGAGUCCGGAAGAGGAGAGUGGAAUUCCUGGUGUAGCGGUGAAAUGCGCAGAUAUCAGGAAGAACACCCGUGGCUAAGGCGGCUCUCUAGUACGGUACUGACGCUGAGACGCGAAAGCGUGGGAGCGUUUAACA
rnacentral:rRNA from 1 species